rnacentral:lncRNA from 1 species
CCCGCGCUCCUCCGGGCAGAGCGCGUGUGGCGGCCGAGCACAUGGGCCCGCGGGCCGGGCGGGCUCGGGGCGGCCGGGACGAGGAGGGGCGACGACGAGCUGCGAGCAAAGAUGUGCCCCGGGACCCCCGGCACCUUCCAGUGGAUUUCCUUGCGGAAAGGAUGUUGGCGGUCCCUGUGACCUGUGGAGACACGGCCAGAUCUGCCCUCCAGCCUGAUCUUUUGGCCAGAAGGAGAUUAAAAAGAUGCCCCUCAAGAUGGCUGUGCCUGUCAGCUGCAUGGAGCUUCGUUCAAGUAUUUUCUGAGCCUGAUGGAUUUACAGUGAUCUUCAGUGGUCUGGGGAAUAACGCUGGUGGAACCAUGCACUGGAAUGACACACGCCCGGCACAUUUCAGGAUACUAAAAGUGGUUUUAAGGGAGGCUGUGGCUGAAUGCCUCAUGGAUUCUUACAGCUUGGAUGUCCAUGGGGGACGAAGGACUGCAGCUGGCUGAGAGGGUUGAGAUCUCUGUUUACUUAGAUCUCUGCCAACUUCCUUUGGGUCUCCCUAUGGAAUGUAAGACCCCGACUCUUCCUGGUGAAGCAUCUGAUGCACGUUCCAUCCGGCGCUCAGCUGGGCUUGAGCUGACCAUACUCCCUGGAGCCUUCUCCCGAGGUGCGCGGGUGACCUUGGCACAUACAGCCAUCAUGAUGGUACUUUAAGUGGAGGCUGAAUCAUCUCCCCUUUGAGCUGCUUGGCACGUGGCUCCCUUGGUGUUCCCCUUUUACUGCCAGGACACUGAGAUUUGGAGAGAAUCCUGUUACACCUGGGAUUUAGGCACUUUCAAUCUGAAAAAAUACAUAUCCUUUCAGCACUCUGGACGGACUUGAGAACUGUCCUUACGUGACCUAAAGCUGGAGUAUUUUGAGAUUGGAGAAUUAAGAGUGUGGGCACCCUGGCUUCAAGCUCACGAGAAACCAGAAGGAAGUCACUGUGCAUAGCCAUCCCCUAAGAAGAGGGCAUUCCUGCUCUUCCUUCUCCAUGGCUAGAGGAUCUACAUGAACUAUUUAGAUUUUUUCUACCUGGGAGAUUUAACUCCUCUCUCCUAUUUAUUUAUUUAUAUAUCAGCAUGGACUUGCAGGCCAACAGAGAUUUUGAGAAACACAUUGAAGGAUCUGUUAACACUUGAUAUACCCAAUAAAAGCAGUGGUUGUGCCAGUGCUGAUCUGUCUUGAUGUGAAUGUGAACAAUGGGAACCUGAGCUGAGCAGUUAAUGCUAGGGUGACAGAAACUGGACCUCUCCCAAGACAUGUGACAGAGUAAUACAGCAGCCAACUUCUUCGCCAAAUUAAAGUUUUACAAGAUUUAACCUGUCAUCAAGACCUGGGAUUUUGGUGAAGGACAGAAUAACGGGCUCCCAGAUUCACAAGCCCCACCAAGAGGAUCACCCCAGGAACGCUUGGAGGCUGAGGAGUUCACUGAGGCUACUGCAUCUUGAGACUCAGGAUGAAGACCCAGCUUGGGGCUGUCAAAGAGGCCUGAAGAGGCAGAACACCCCAGAGGAGCCUGGGGCCACCACCCAGCAUCACUGUGGGAAAACGGCAGCAGGAAAUGUCCUCUCGCCUGCGUGCUCCACCUCGGUCCACGCCUUCCCUCCUUCUGGAAGCCUUGCCUGACCACUGGCCUGCCCCUUCUAUGGGAAUCACUACUGACCUUGCAGCUUAUUAUAGACUUAUAUGUUUUUUGCAUGUCUGACACCCAUGACUCCACCUGGACCUUAUGGCUCCACCCAGAAGCAAUUCAGCCCAACAGGAGGACAGCUUCAACCCAUUACGAUUUCAUCUCUGCCCCAACCACUCAGCAGCAAGCACCUGUUACCUGUCCACCCCCACCCCUUCCCCCAAACUGCCUUUGAAAAAUCCCUAACCUAUGAGCUUUGAAUAAGAUGAGUACGAACUUCAUCGCCCACGUGGCGUGGCCGGCCUCGUGUCUAUUAAAUUCUUUUUCUACUACAA